rnacentral:rRNA from 1 species
AUACGGAGGAUCCGAGCGUUAUCCGGAUUUAUUGGGUUUAAAGGGUGCGCAGGCGGCCAUUUAAGUCAGCGGUUAAAUCGUGGGGCUCAACCCCAUUCUGCCGUUGAUACUGGGUGGCUUGAUUGCGGUCGAGGUUGGCGGAAUUCGUUGUGUAGCGGGGAAAUGCAUAGAUAUGACGAAGAACACCGAUUGCGUAGGCAGCUGACCAGACCGCAAAUGACGCUCACGCACGAAAGUGCGGGGAUCGAACAGGAUUAGAUACCCUGGUAGUCCGCACAGUAAACGAUGAAUACUUGUUUUCGGCGAUAUAAUGUCGGAGGCAAAGCGAAAGCGAUAAGAAUUCCACCUGGGGAGUACGCCGGCAACGGUGAAACUCAAAUGAAUUGGCGGGG